rnacentral:rRNA from 1 species
AACGAACGCUGGCGGCAUGCCUAACACAUGCAAGUCGAACGAGACCUUCGGGUCUAGUGGCGCACGGGUGCGUAACGCGUGGGAACCUGCCCUUAGGUUCGGAAUAACUCCCCGAAAGGGGUGCUAAUACCGGAUAAUGUCUUCGGACCAAAGAUUUAUCGCCUUUGGAUGGGCCCGCGUUGGAUUAGCUAGUUGGUAGGGUAAAAGCCUACCAAGGCGACGAUCCAUAGCUGGUCUGAGAGGAUGAUCAGCCACACUGGGACUGAGACACGGCCCAGACUCCUACGGGAGGCAGCAGUGGGGAAUAUUGGACAAUGGGCGAAAGCCUGAUCCAGCAAUGCCGCGUGAGUGAGGAAGGCCGUAGGGUUGUAAAGCUCUUUUACCCGGGAUGAUAAUGACAGUACCGGGAGAAGAAGCGCCGGCUAACUCCGUG